CCCAAGGCUAUAGCCCACCCGUUUUUGUGGCCUUUUUCCGCUGGACAAACUUGGCGCCCCGGCCUUCGGGUGGUUAUUUUUGGGCGCGGCUGUGUCCGCGGCCUAUUUUUGGCACACGGAGUCGCCUCGCAAAGUCUCGCGCCAUUCCGAGUCCCGCGGACGAAGUUGGCCAGCCCCACCCCCCAAGGCUAUAGCCCACCCGUUUUUGUGGCCUUUUUCCGCUGGACGAACUUGGCGCCCCGGCCUUCG
rnacentral:lncRNA from 1 species